UACGUAGGUGGCAAGCGUUGUCCGGAUUUAUUGGGUUUAAAGGGUGCGUAGGCGGCCCUGUAAGUCAGUGGUGAAAUAUCUCAGCUUAACUGAGAGGGUGCCAUUGAUACUGCAGGGCUUGAGUACAGAUGAGGUAGGCGGAAUUGACGGUGUAGCGGUGAAAUGCAUAGAUAUCGUCAAGAACACCGAUAGCGAAGGCAGCUUACUAAGCUGUAACUGACGCUGAGGCACGAAAGUGUGGGGAUCAAACAGG
rnacentral:rRNA from 2 species